rnacentral:lncRNA from 1 species
UCUUGAUCACAUGUACUUAAAUAGUUUAUAAACCUAAUUUAUCCUCUUAACGGUAACCUAUCAUUUGUGACAUUUUUCACAAUUCUCUUAUUGUAUAACAUAACGGUAUCUAUAACCGUGACAGUAUUGAAUUUGUAACGAACUUUGAUUAUAAACGAAAAAGUGAAGCUCGUAUUACAUUAAGAUUAAGAUUAAUAAAACACGUAUAAUGAUCAAAAUCAGACCCACUUGUAUUGGGGAUGAAUAAUCUAUGUAUCUAACAAACGUAAAAGAAUCAUUUAUCAACAAACCCUAAUAAUCGACCCUAUGGGUGUUGGCCAUUUAGUUUUGUCUACGCACGACGUGUCGCGUCAAACUUGUACGGCUCAUUUUUCCGUCAUGUCGUUUUCACUAUUAAAUCUUCCUGGGACCCAUCCCUCCAGUGGUUCGUUCUGUUUGGACAUAAAAAAGAAAAAAAAAAAAAUAUAUAUAUAUAUAUAUAUAUAAUAACAAAAUUAUUAUUACUAUUUUUUCUAAUUCCAAUUCUUUAAUUUGCUUUUUCUUCAUCUCCAAAAAGUUUGUAUUAUUAUUUUCCUUUCCAGAAAUAAAUGUUGAAUUAUUUUCGAGAAAAAAAAUUAUUAUCUUUAGGUAUUAAUAAAAUAUUUACUAUUUUUAUACAUUUGCUUUUUCCCUUUCCCUUUUCUUUUAAUUCAAUUAUAUACUUCUUUCCCUAAUAAAAUUUUAACUAUAUAUAUAUAAGAUUUAAACCAAUAUAUAUUGCAUGGAAACGCUAACAUCUUAUACAGUACAAUACGUAACGAGACGUGGUGUUUGACCACCAUCACUCCGAAAAUCAUGUUAUAUUAGUAAUAACUAACAGAGAGAGUUAGAUAAUAGAGAAUUCAUGAUUUUUUCAAUGUAUCUUACUAGAGGAUACCGAGUUAUAAGGCCUUGUGGUGUCGACUUUCCUUUCAUGCCUCUUCUUCCGUCUUGCAUUUCUUCUAUAAGUCAUUUUGCUAUCUAGUCUUAACUCUCUCCUUAAUUCCUUCUAUCCUUUGUUCUUUCCUUUCGCCUCUUGGGAACUUGUACCACUCCGUGGACAAGUGAAGAAAGAGUUUCUCCAAUAGCUACUUUCAAAACCUACACUGCCGCAAUCGAAACUAUUUCCUAGCUACUUUCUUGUGACACUCAUUUCCAAAUUAUAGUCAUUGUAAAUGGACUCAAGCAACAUGGUUAGCUUAAUAGACAAAAAUUUAGUCAUAACUUGACUACCAAACUACCAUGGCUAACCCUAUCUCCAUACUUGGGCAUUGUUUUUUC